rfam:Oryza sativa (indica cultivar-group) chromosome 3, whole genome shotgun sequence.
AAUAAGUGUAGUUUUGCAUUGUUCAUGUCUAACGUUUAACCGUUCGCCUUAGUUGAAAAUUUUGUAUGAUCAGUAUUUUUAUUAUUAUUAGAUGAUAAAACAUGAAAAGUAACUUAUGUGUGGCUAUUUUUUUAGUUUUUUCAUAAAUUUUACAAAUAAGAUGGACGGUUAAAUAUUAGACACGGAUAUAUACCCAUGGCUGCACUUAUU